AUUGAAACACCGGUUCCUGUACGAUCACCUAAGUUAAGCACCGUCAAGCUUGGUCAGUACCUAGAUGGGUGACUGCUUGGAAAUAUGCAGGUGCUGUAAG